CCGUGAAACGACGACGUUGUGAGCUUCCUGUUCCAGGUUCUAGUUCCAGGUUCUUUGGCCAGCAGCACCUCAACGAUGCCAAAAGCUACGAACUUUUUUAGCUGUUGAUGAUGGAAUGUGUGGAAGUUGAACUUUGAAGAAGCUAUCUACAUCAAGGAAAAUCGAUUCCUGUGGUUCUUACUUAUGCUGCAAAUGUGAGGAUUUGAUCAAGAGAAAAAGGAAAUAAAUAUAGGCAAAAUAGAAAUUGAAUACUCUCAAAUUCACUGCACUUAGAGAUUUUAAGAAGUGGUGGUUUGGUGAUGGAGAGUGAAUUUUAUAAAUGGUAACAGUCAUGGCUUGAUGGUGGUAUGUUAACUGCAGUUUAGAGUAUAUCCUGUAUCUUUGUUUCACUUUUUGAAGAGUAAUUUUCUGUUUGUCAUUGUGAAUUCGACUAUGGACUAGUAGAUAUUUUAUAGAUCAAUUGCUUAUGGAGUAGUGCAUGCAAUUGUGUAGAAAUGUAUGUUGUUACUUGUGAAUAAUAGCACCGGAAUGGAUCCUAUCCAGUGAUAUUUUCACUGGAAGAGAUCCUAGCCAUUCAAAUAUAAAAAAUGAAUAUAAUAUAUUUUUAUUAUAAGGUGGAGGUUUAAAAGAUUUAAGAGUGAGAUCUUAAAACUUGAGAAUUUCAAGUUUUUUUUUUUCCCACUUCUUAGAAUCUCUUCCCAUAAUAGCGCUUGUUUGACAUCUUUGGCAAACUGUGUAUAUAUGAUUGAAUGGCAUUAGACAUACAAGUGACACAUUGGAAAGUUCUAGUGUCUCUAGCCAGAACAAGGCUCAUUUUACAAUUUUACCGUCACAAACAGAAACAGCUGUACAGGGCAUCUAAGUUUACUUUGAAUAUUUUUCUUGUCAAACUUGGAUGUUGCCACCUAUGUGGUUGUAGUUCCAACAAUUAUUUCAAUAAGAUUACUGUCCUAUCUAUCAACCUUUUAAAUGCAUUGAGACAGUUACAGUGGACUCGUGACCAACUGGAAGGAGGAAGAGAAUAUCAUGAUGCAUUGGUCCAACCAGAGAAAUUCAUGUACAAGCAUAUAUAGUCUGUCACAUCCAAGGAACGUCAAGAAUCUUAGUUUUUGUCAAUUAUGAAAAGGAUAUUAACUUUCAUUUUUCCGUUCUCACUCUUCCCCACGUAUAUUCAAUGCUGAAGCAACACUUUCUUAAGUUUGCACCUGCUUGACUGUACAAAAUACAUGGAAAAGAAGGGAAAAACCAAACAACUGUUGUGAAGAUCUUUUGAGAAUGCAGAUUUCUUCUUUGCAUGAUCAAGCCUAUUGUUGGCACUUCCUGAAUUCUUCUUUGUGUUCAAUAAUUCCUUCUCUGUAGCCUUCAGAGUAUGUUGAUUCUGCAGCAAUAUCCUUUGGUCUUCUUCACUGUGUCUUAAUGCAAUUUCUGAACUUCUCAGGCCUAACACAUUCUCUAGUUGAAUUGAUAUAAAGAACCCAACAAAGAGAAGAAGAAUGAUUGUUCUAGAAGGAGGAUGAAACACCAUAUUCUCUUCACCCUGAAACAAGAAGAAUAGAGGUGUGCUCUUUCUGUUUAGAGUGACAGGAGAAUAAGUAGCUAUCUCCUUGUAAUAUCUGUGUUCUUAUGGUCCAUUCCUGUAGAUAUAACCUUGUUAUAUAUGUCCUACUGGAUUUGGAGGGUGCUUUAAAGCUUAAAGCAGGGAGGGCCUAAAGGAAUUUUAGAUUCAUCUCGAAUCACAAGCCUGAAAUCUUAGCAAAUUAAGGCUGUUAUUUAAGAAUCUGACAAGGAUGAAUAAAGGGGGUUGGGACAAUGUCCUUGAGAGGCCAAGUAUAUUUCUUUCCAUUUCUUUCUCUACAUGUCUAUCAUAUGCCUGCUUUAUUCACCAAAAGAAGCCAAACACCGUUUCUGUCCAACUUGCCACAUCAUACUGCUAUACCUUUGUAUGUAUCUGGAUAAAUAGGUCCUACAUUCUCUGGUGGUUAUGCUUGGUUUUGGCUCACUAGGAUAAUUCAAAUUAGUUAUCACUCUGGUAUCCCAUGUGUAUCUAUUGAAUUCUUGUGUAUACUUUUAGCCUACAUGUUUCAACUAUUUUCUAAAUUUGUAUCAAUACAAGUGGAACACUACAAUGAUUGGAUGA